UUUGCAAUCUCUACACCCGCUGGUGCCUAUCCGGCCUCCCUCGCGGUCACAGCGCUCAGCGACGAAAACCGCGUCUCUGCCACGCUAUAUUUAUUUAUUUAUUUUUCACGGUGGGGGUCGGGGAGUAAACACCCACACUAUAUAGUGCUCGGCGAGUGAACCGAGACACCUUGCACUAAUCGACCAUGGAGUUCCCCUUCGGUCACCACCACCACCACCACGGCCGCCGCGACGACGAGGAGGAGGGACAGCGCUAUCCUCCUCCC
rnacentral:lncRNA from 1 species